CACACGCAUUCUCUCGUAUCGAAACCGAAUUUCAUUACCUUAGAAAUAGAUUCAAAUAGAUUCAAAUAGAAAUAGAUUCAUUGAUUCAACGAUUUUAACAUCAAUCGAAUCAAUUUUUGCUUCGAAACAAGAGAACGUGCGUGGUUGGCACCAUAUUCCAUUGAAACUACUACAUUUUUCUCUCAGUGUAGACGUGAAAAAUGUAUACUCAACCCGCAAAAUCACCCGCACUAAACAACGUUCGUUAUACGAUGUCAAUCGUAGAGCAGCUGCUGGUUCAAUUGAUACGGGAAUAGGUCGUCGGCAAUUGAUGAAGUUUCUAGCUGGGCUUAAAAUUCCGUCUCCUACUGAACCCAUUUUUAAAUUAGCCGAAAAACUCGUGAGACCAGCUUCCUUUUCUGUAGCCGAGGAUUCUUUUAAAAAAACAAUUGCGAUGGAAAAGGAAUUAACAAUUGCAGCAUUAUCAUCUACUGAGAAAGGCUGUGGAGCCUAUCAAGUUGACCAAAAAAUCAAUGAAAAAUACGUAAUUCGAAAUUAUGAGUAUGUCAAAUUUUUUAAUUGCAUUUUUACUUAAGUGCGACAUCAUAGUAAUAGCUGAUACUGAAAGAAGAAUACAAAGGAAAAAAG